AAAAGAAAAAACAACUCCUCUGUAUAUUUCACCACAACAAAAAGCACCAUGAAGUACAUUUGAAGGAGCUGGAGAACAGCCUGCAGAAGUCCGAGAACAAGAGCCAGAGCAUGCAGAAUUAUGUGCAGUUCCUGAGAGCUUCCUACACCCUCACGUUUGGCUCAAUUCUGGAUUGGAUUAUAAAGAAACUUCCCAAGGUUUGGCUCUCGGCCUUGCUGUGGGCAGGGCAGACUGCAGGACAGCAGCGAUAGGCGCAGCUCUUGGAUGACUCCAGUUCCAUCGUGGCUGCAGCUCGUGUCCAUCUCCAGCCCCAGGUAGUUACAGCUUGUGCUUGCUGAACUGAGCCUGGCUUGUGGCCAGUCCUAAACCAGUCCCUGUCACGAUGCAGAUGAACAGGAGCUGUCAGAACUGCUCAUGUCCAGCCCUGAGGUAACAAAGAGUAAACA